rnacentral:tRNA from 1 species
GGGCCUAUAGUUCAGUGGUAGAACACAUCCAUGGCAUGGAUGAGGUUGGAGUUCGAUUCUCCAUAGGUCCACCA